CAGUAGCCGCGGGAAUACGAGGGGUGCAAGCGUUAUUCGGAUUGAUUGGGCGUAAAGCGAGCGCAGGCGGUUAGAUAAGUCUGAAGUUAAAGGCUGCGGCUUAACCAUAGUACGCUUUGGAAACUGUUUAACUUGAGUGCAAGAGGGGAGAGUGGAAUUCCAUGUGUAGCGGUGAAAUGCGUAGAUAUAUGGAGGAACACCGGUGGCGAAAGCGGCUCUCUGGCUUGUAACUGACGCUGAGGCUCGAAAGCGUGGGGAGCAAACAGGAUUAGAUACCCCCGUAGUCCCUGUCUCUUAUACA
rnacentral:rRNA from 1 species